AGUAAAAACAGCAAAAUGAGAUGUUCUCGGCACAGACUGAGACAGACAACUGCAAUUAAUGUAGACCUGGAAACCUGGAGAGAGUUUACAUUUCCGACAAACAUCGUCAGAAAUUGGGAGAACAAAUACCCUUUUAAAGACGAGACUACUCCGUUGAAGAUGCGAAUUUUCCCAGUGGAUUCAAUGGUCUUCAGUCACAAUUCAAUUUUAAAAAUCUCUAGUCCUUAUUAGCAAGUCUUUUAGUCUUUGUUAAUUCUCUAGGAUAUCAAUGAUUGAAAACCGACCUGCUCAAUAUAAAUUUCAGGGCGACUUGGCUACACU
rnacentral:lncRNA from 1 species